UGCAGUCGAACGAGAAAUUUUCCUUCGGGGAAAGAGUACAGUGGCGCACGGGUGAGUAAGACUUGGGUUACAUGCCCUUUCGCUGGGGAUAACAAGGGGAAACUCUUGCUAAUACCGAAUGACCCUUAAGGAACUGCGGUUCCAUAAGGGAAAGCUUUUAGCGCGAAAGGAGUGGCCUGAGUACCAUUAGCUUGUUGGUGGGGUAAUAGCCUACCAAGGCGACGAUGGUUAGCUGGUCUGAGGGGAUGAUCAGCCACACUGGUACUGGAACACGGACCAGACUCCUACGGGAGGCAGCAGUUAGGAAUAUUGCGCAAUGGGGGAAACCCUGACGCAGCAACGCCGCGUGAGUGAGGAAGGCCUUCGGGUUGUAAAGCUCUUUUAGCAGGGAAGAAAAAAUGACGGUACCUGCAGAAAAAGCACCGGCUAACUCCGUGCCAGCAGCCGCGGUAAUACGGAGGGUGCAAGCGUUAUUCGGAAUCACUGGGCGUAAAGCGCGCGUAGGUGGUUUAGUAAGUCUGAUGUGAAAGCCCACGACUCAAUCGUGGAAGUGCAUUGGAUACUGCUAGACUAGAGUAUAGGAGAGGAGAACGGAAUUCCUGGUGUAGAGGUGAAAUUCGUAGAUAUCAGGAGGAACAACGGAGGCGAAGGCGGUUCUCUGGACUAUAACCGACACUGAGGCGCGAAAGCGUGGGUAGCAAACAGGAUUAGAUACCCUGGUAGUCCACGCCGUANACGAUGGUCACUAGAUGUCGGGAGCUCUUGCCCUCUCGGUGUCGUAGUUAACGCGUUAAGUGACCCGCCUGGGGAGUACGGCCGCAAGGUUAAAACUCAAAGAAAUUGACGGGGGCCCGCACAAGCGGUGGAGUAUGUGGUU
rnacentral:rRNA from 1 species